rnacentral:tRNA from 1 species
GGGGUUGUGGCCCAGCAGUAGAGCGUUCACCUUGCACGUGCGAGACCCUGGGUUCAAUCCCCAGCACCA